GCAGGAGAUGUCACCCAAGACAGUAGGUGUUACCCAAGUGCAGCAGAUGACACCCAGUGCAGUAAAUGUCACCCACCUCAGUGGGUGUCACCCAGGGUGGUAGACAUCACCCAGGGCAGCAUCUGCUACUCAGCCUGUUGUACAGAAGAGGAAACAGUGUCAGAGAAACCAAGACCUUCCCAUGGCUUUGCCACUGCAAACAGCAAAACAGGAGCCUGACCUCCUGAGUCCUGGCUCUAAGCACCAUCUUCACAGCAGCCGCUGUCUGUUCUCUCACCGUGUCUGCUCUCUCACCAGGGGUCUGCCUCUUGGAACAGACUGUCUGGUACCAGCCCUUGUCCAGACCCAGAAGCUGCUCGCCUUGGUCAAGGUCAGACUCCCCCAGGGCACCAAAAUGUGCGCCCACACUUCUAGUCAUGAGGGAAGGUGGCGAGGAAGGUCGCUUUCUCUGUCUUCCCAGGUCACAGCCAAGUAUUCCAGAGGCAAGAACUGAGCUUAGGUGCAAGCCCCACUGGGAUUGAAUUUCAGCCACUUGGUUGCCUGGCCCUAUUGAGCCCCUAUGGAGAAGGGCCGUGUGGGCGCAGGCUGCAUGCAUGGCCCAUGCUGAGCCUGUCCUGGAGGAGGGGACUUGUCUUUCAGCUGGAGGAUGCCAGGUCUGAGGGGAGCAAAGGGAGAUCUGUCCCCAAAGGCCUUCUCAGAUCCUCCUCUCCACUAGAGGACUUGGGACAGCAGUCCGAAGGCCUACAAUAGUGCCUGGUCCUCAGUGGAACCCAGUUAAUAUUUGUUUAAUGAAAUGAGUAAACCGAGGUCUCUUUUCCCCCACACUGUCCCAGGCACCUUGCUCCAUCCCCUUCGGUCUCACAUCCCUGCCUGGGAUAUUUCUCUUACUGAGGGACGGACUAUACCACCCUGCACCCCAACAUCUUCCUGUCCUGUGUCUACAGCAGAUGGGUCUCUGGGGAGGGGCCAGAAUCCCACCUUUGGAUGCUGAAGGAUUGGGGGAGGCGUUUUUUUCUGUGAGCUUCUCAAAGCCCUUUGGAGCCCUCUGCAGCAGUGGGAGAGGAAGCCCAGGCCGGGGGAGUGGAGCGGUUGGGGCAACCAGCAGAGGGCAGUCCAGAAUUCCCAUACAGGAGGGACUCGGCUGCCUGCCGGGAGAUGGGAGGACAGAAACCUGCCCGGAGGCUGCAUUUGUAUUGCAGGCACCUCACUUUACUUGGGAUAUUUGGGGCGUGCUGCUGCAGGGGACAGACAUCCAAGCCUUGGACAAGCUCUCCUUGAUGCCACCACUGGUAUCAGAAUCCAGGGGACAGAAUCCAGGCGUCUGGCUGUCCUCCCCACAGUCUGUGCCAGGGGCUUUGCCUGGAGUCCCUGAGAGGAGGGAGGGAGGGGAAAGAGAGCCUGGGAAAGAAGAGGGAAGCACAGACUCUGGAGCUGGGGAGGGGGUGUCAUUGGUAUUCUGGGCACUGAGGAGUCCCCAACGGCUGGGCAGCACUGGAGGCCCACCCCCUGGCACCAGGCUGCACAUUCAUCUUCCACAGCCCUGGCCAACGGGCCCUCUGGGCUCCCAGCAACGCCUGCGUUUUGCACAUUGGUUUGCAUGAGCAGUAAUGUCCGUUCACAGUGCCACUCCUCCCCCGACCAGGUCUAGAGAGCUCCCGACUUGCUUUGCUUAACCCCUGAGUCUGCUGUUUAACCUCAUCCCUGCAAAGUCAGCUCCUCUGUGCUGAGAGUGGGAGCUCUGCAGGAGACAAAACCCAGCAAGAGCUUCAUCCAGGGAGGUUGAUAGGGUCAUCUGCACCUCACCCUGCCUCCAAAAAAGAGUGUCCCUCCCCCAUUUUUAUGUGUGUGCCGUGUCUCUCUAGGAGCAAAGCCUCCUUUUCUCUCUUAAUCCUUUUCCCUACUGUCUAAGUCUCAGCGCCUCCUCCUCUCCCCUUGGCCAACGGGAAGUCCCUCCAACUGUCUAACUUCCAUCCCUCCAGCUGCAACAUCAUCCUCUAGCUUGGCGAGCGCUCCCGCCCCGCCCCGCCUGCCCUCCCGCCCUACUCCAAGUCGUCGGCUUCUCAUCCCCAGAAGGAUGUCCUACUUCGCUCGUCCUUGCUCUCGCAACUGCCACCGGGAACCGACGCAGAGAAGGCAGCGGGUCUCGUGACCUUCCCGAGCCCCCCGCGUUCCCGGCCAGGGGGCGGGAGCAGCCCCCGGGAAGGGCGGGGCGGGGGCGGGGGGAAGAAAGGGGGUUUUGUGCGGCGCCGGGCCCGGCGCCCUCUUCCGAGCAUCCUGCGGGCCCAACCUCUCCGUGCACCCGCGCAGUCCCCGCCGCAGUCUCGGCUGCAGCUGCAAGACCGAGCCGUGGACCCGGCAGAGACCCGCGCAGCAGGAGACAAACUUCCCGGUGCCGCACCCCCACCCAGGCCCUCGGCCGCCAGCCGUCCCCCCAUCAGCCUGCAGCAUGGCCCCACUGUUCCUGCCUCUGCUGGCAGCUCUGGUCCUGGCCCGGGUCCCUGAGGCCUUAGCUGAUGCUCUGGAAAGGGACAGCUCAGAGGACCGCGCCUUCCGCGUGCACAUUGCGGGUGCAGCCCCCCUGCAGGGCGUGUUGGGCGGCGCUCUCACCAUCCCGUGCCACCUUCACUACCUGCGGCCGCUGCAGAACCGGAGGGCCGCUCUGGGCUCCCCGCGGGUGAAGUGGACCUUCCUGUCUGGGGGCCGGGAGGCUGAGGUGCUGGUCGCACGGGGGCUGCGCGUCAAGGUGAGCGAGGCCUACCGGUUCCGCGUGGCGCUGCCGGCCUACCCAGCGUCACUCACCGAUGUCUCCCUGGUGCUGAGCGAGCUUCGGCCCAAUGACUCAGGCAUCUACCGCUGUGAGGUCCAGCAUGGCAUAGAUGACAGCAGCGACGCUGUGGAGGUCAAAGUGAAAGGGGUCGUCUUUCUCUACCGAAAGGGCUCUGCCCGCUAUGCCUUCUCCUUCACUGGGGCCCAGGAGGCCUGCGCCCACAUAGGAGCCCGCAUCGCCACUCCGGAGCAGCUCUACGCAGCCUACCUGGGGGGCUACGAACAGUGCGAUGCUGGCUGGCUGUCCGACCAGACCGUGAGGUAUCCCAUCCAGACACCACGAGAGGCCUGUUACGGAGACAUGGAUGGCUUCCCUGGGGUUCGGAACUAUGGAGUAGUGGACCCGGAUGACCUCUAUGAUGUCUACUGCUAUGCUGAAGACCUGAAUGGAGAGCUGUUCCUGGGUGCCCCCCCAGACAAGCUGACGUUGGAGGAGGCCCAGGCAUACUGCCGGGAGCGGGGUGCAGAGAUCGCCACCACGGGUCAGCUGUACGCCGCCUGGGAUGGCGGCUUGGACCGCUGCAGCCCAGGCUGGCUGGCCGAUGGCAGUGUGCGCUACCCCAUCGUCACACCCAGCCAGCGCUGUGGUGGGGGCCUGCCUGGUGUCAAGACUCUCUUCCUCUUCCCAAACCAGACCGGCUUCCCCAAUAAGCACAGCCGCUUCAACGUCUACUGCUUCCGAGACUCAGCUCAGCCUUCCACCAUCCCUGAGGACUCCAACCCAGCCUCUGAUGGACUGGAGGCCAUUGUCACCGUGACAGAGACCCUGGAGGAACUGCAGCUGCCUCAGGAAACUGUGGAGAGUGAGUCCCGAGGCGCCAUCUACUCCAUUCCCAUCAUGGAGGAUGGAGGCGGUGGAAGUUCCACUCCAGAGGACCCAGCAGAGGCCCCGAGGACCCUCCUAGAACUCGAAACCCAAUCCAUUGUGCCUCCCGUGGAGUCCUCAGAAGAGGAAGGCAAGGCUCUGGAAGAGGAAGAAGACAAAUACAAAGAUGAGGAAGAGGAAGAGGAGGAGGAGGAAGAGGAUGAGGCCCUGUGGGCCUGGCCCAGCGAGCUCAGCAGCCUGGACCCAGAGGCCUCUCUUCCCACUGACCUGGCCCUGGAGGAGUCACUGUCCCCCGCAUCUCCGUCUGCGAGAGCAGUCCUGCAGCCUGGUGCAUCAUCACCUCCCAAUGGGGAGCCGGAGGCUCCCAGGCCUCCAAGGGUCCUAGGACCACCCACUGAGACUCUGCCCACUCCCAGGGAGGGGAACCUGGCAUCCCCACCACCUUCCACUCCAGUUGGGGCGAGAGAGGUGGGGGAGGAGACUGGGGGUCCUGAGCUGUCUGGGGUCCCUCGAGGAGAAAAUGAGGAGACAGGGAGCUCCGAGGAUGCCCCUGCUCUGCUUCCAGCCACACGGGCCCCUGAGGGAACCAAGGAGCUGGAGGCCCCCUCCGAAGAGGAUUCUGGAAGAACUGUCCCCGCAGGGACCUCAGUGCGGGCCCAGCCGGUGCUGCCCACUGACAGCGCCAGCCGCGGUGGAGUGGCCGUGGCCCCUUCAUCAGGUGACUGUGUCCCCAGCCCCUGCCACAAUGGUGGGACAUGCUUGGAGGAGGAGGAAGGUGUCCGCUGCCUAUGUUUGCCUGGCUAUGGGGGGCACCUGUGCGAUGUUGGCCUCCGCUUCUGCAGCCCCGGCUGGGACGCCUUCCAGGGCGCCUGCUACAAGCACUUUUCUACCCGAAGGAGCUGGGAGGAGGCGGAGACCCAGUGCCGGAUGUACGGCGCGCACCUGACCAGCAUCAGCACGCCAGAGGAACAGGACUUCAUCAACAAUCGAUACCGGGAGUACCAGUGGAUUGGGCUCAAUGACAGAACCAUCGAAGGCGAUUUCCUGUGGUCAGAUGGCGUCCCCCUGUGUCCUGUGGGUCCCCACCGGAGCUGCCCUUGGCUCAAGUGUUUGGCCGUCCGCGACUGCGCUAUGAGGUGGACACAGUGCUUCGUUACCAGUGCCGGGAGGGGCUGGCCCAGCGAAACCUGCCACUGAUCCGCUGCCAGGAGAAUGGCCGCUGGGAGCCCCCCCAGAUCUCCUGUGUGCCCCGCAGGCCUUCUCGAGCUCUGCACCCAAUGAAGGCCCCAGAAGGACGUCAAGGCAGGCCACUGGGGCGCUGGAAGGCGCUGCUGACCCCUCCUUCCAGUCCU